GCCUUCAUGGUGUAAUGGUCAAAACACUCGGCGCGUAUUCGAGAAGUCCAAGGUUCUAAUCCUGGCGACGGCG
rnacentral:tRNA from 1 species